ensembl:lncRNA
CCGAGCCCUUCCCAUCCCUCCCAUUUCCCUCCGUCCACGCGUUUCCUUGAGAGAGAAACCCCGGAGCGUUUUGAGGAGGACGAGGGGUGGUGGAAGCGAAGCGCAGAGAGAAAAAUCAGACCUGGCCCCCGGGCUCCGCGAGCAGGAAACCCAAGUCCCCGGCUCCGCUCGUAACAUAUAUGUGGCUACAGCCAGCGAUGAAUUUCUGCAUUUUGGCACCGGUCAGAGUGAAAGUAGUCGCACUAUCUAUAGAAACUUUGAGAUGGAGAACACUUGGAGUAUGCUACUGAAAAUGCAAGAAACACAUUUUUGAAAGGAUGAAAUAAUAUCACUGAGUGACAGUAAAUUAACAUGCUGACAUUUGCAGACUUUCAGAGCAUUGCCAUAAAAAGAAGUAAUACAACAUGACUAAUUUGGACUUCUUCUUUCUUCCUUCCUAGGCAGAGACAGCCCUGCCCCUCCUCGGCCACCCUGCAGGCGGUGCCCAGCCGGCACUUCCUCCUCUUUCCCGGGAAACACUCCCGGCUUCCCGCUCCCGGGCGCCUCUCGGAGACGCUGUGACAGGCGCCCACGGGAUGCUCUCUGGAGUGGUCCCUGGCGGGCGGGGGGCAUGGCCUGCCGGGCGACCCCGCCCCCCUUCCACACACACACGCACACACGCACACACACCGUGCAGUGCCGGGGCUGGGGGAGUCCUUGCACACCUUCCAGCAUCAUGGCACAGAUGGAGAAACUGAGGCACAGAGAGGCUCUACGUUCCCAGGCCUCUUCUCUCCCUCCGCCCCCCACCACCGGGGCCAAGCAUCCAGCCCCGUAAGUCCUCCAGGUGAAAACGGGCAUCCCGGCCACCGCCCUGCGUGGGAAAUAAGCCUUCUGAGGAAGCACCCGCUGCACAUUUGCUAAAUUAAUGAAAAAAGAACUGCACGGGGUGAGUCGAUGCCCCGGCUCGGUGUGUCCGGAGUGGGGGCUCUCACAGCCGGCCUCCCCCUUUGUCAGACACCGGGGUGGCCGUGCCCUCCCCGGGGAGCAGGAUGCCCCUUUGUUCUGCGAGCUGGGUUUCCCAGGCCCCUCUGGACCCUCCUGCCGGACCCCGCUGGACCCCACUGGACCCCACAGGACCCCAUUGGACACCGCUGGGCCCUGCAGGACCCUGCAGGACCUCGCUGGACCCCGCCGGACCCCACUGGACCCCGCUGGACUCCGCAGGACCCCGCCAGGCCUGCGUGCGCGCGGGCGGCCAGACUGUUACGAGCUAACCCAAGUUGAGACUAACCUUUCAGCAGAACAGUUUGAGUUAAAAUAAAGGGAUUGAAAAAGAGUACAAUGACCAAAAAAAUCUAUAAAAAUGCAAUUGCGCUAAUAUAAUUUUAUCACUUAUUUAAAAAUUUAGUCGACCCAAAAGACUACCAAGUGUGAAAUUAAGGAACAGCUCCUCUACUUUUAUGGAAAUCACUCUUCCUCACUUGUCUAAUAGCCUGAUUUUGUCAGAUCAUUUAUUUCCAUGGUUUUAAAAUGAGCUUGACAGACAGAAUUUUAUAACACCACUUUACUGCAAAUAAGAACAUCAUUUUCGCUUAUUAAAACUGAAGCUUAGAGAAAGCAUUAAAAUUAAC